AAAAGCAGAAUGGUUGCUAAAGAAUAAGUUGGAUUUGGACGUCAAUGAAAAUCAAUCGAUAUCUACGGUGGUUCCCAGGACCCCUCCAUCGGUUCAGCUGUGGUAGAGACUGAGCCGAGGUUGUCUUCAGCUCCUGUCAGAGCYCUCAGGCGUUACAGAGUUUUACCAGACCCACCAGGUACUCAGAGAACGUCUGAAGAUUCGCCUCAACCGUCCAGCCAAUCCCCUGUCACUCAGGUAUCCCAUGGUUACAGGCCUGGCACAGCUGCCGCUGCUCUACAGAAGCGAAGGCUCAAACCAAACUAGUAAUAGGUUUGAUUGGUAGGUUAGCAAACAGUAUCCCCAAGAGGGAGGGGUCAGGUACUUUUAAUACAAACAAGAUUGUCCGGUGUUAGCUGUAAGAAAAACCGGUGUAAAAUGUGCAGUACUGUGCAGUGCCCAUUCUUUCCAAUACACUGUGCUUUCACAUAGUAGCUAUGUUAUUGGACAACAAGCCUAGCAAAUUUAACGAGUCAUAUACCCGGCUACCGGGGAAAGAAGGGGCAUAAAAUCCCGUUGUGUGUCCGGUAUUUGUAAGUUUCAUUAAUAUGACUAUAACGAGCGUUUAUUUCUAAAUCAGAUACUACCUUACGGGAUAUAAAGUUUGGUCGUGAAAAACCCGGUGUUUGCUCGGUGCUACCUUACGGGAUAUAAAGUCGGGUCGUGAAAAACCCGGUGUUGGCUCGGUGCUACCUUUCGGGAUAUAAAGUCGGGUCGUGAAAAAUCCGGUGGUUGACCGGUGCUUCCAAUGUUAUCAACAUGGGGCAACGUCAUGCAAAAUGCCCCUACUUUGUACGAGGGGGAGGGAAGGGGUUCAUUUUGUGUUGGACACGAUGUAAGAUAUUCUUAAUGUUUGAUAAAACUAACUUGUAAAUAUGUGUUACUGUUAAGAAUCAUUAAACCCAACGACAAGCUCUC